rnacentral:snoRNA from 1 species
UUAUUUGAUGAAUAGGCACCACAUUUGUCUUUAACUAUCCAGCGAUGAUUCUUCGAAUAUGUGCUAUGGAUAAUAUCAUGCAUCACCAUCUGAAC